GGAUUAGAUACCCUGGUAGUCCUAGCUGUAAACGAUGGAUACUAGGUGUUGGCCGUAUCGACCCGGUCAGUAUCGUAGCUAACGCGUUAAGUAUCCCGCCUGGGGAGUACGCACGCAAGUGUGAAACUCAAAGGAAUUGACGGGGGCCCGCACAAGCGGUGGAGUAUGUGGUUUAAUUCGAUGCAACGCGAAGAACCUUACCAGGGUUUGACAUGCCGCGAAUCAUUUAGAGAUAGAUGAGUGCCUUCGGGAGCGCGGACACAGGUGGUGCAUGGCUGUCGUCAGCUCGUGCCG
rnacentral:rRNA from 1 species